AACUUUUAACAACGGAUCUCUUGGCUCUCGCAUCGAUGAAGAACGCAGCGAAAUGCGAUAAGUAAUGUGAAUUGCAGAAUUCAGUGAAUCAUCGAAUCUUUGAACGCACCUUGCGCUCUCUGGUAUUCCGGGGAGCACGCCUGUUCGAGUGUCAUU
rnacentral:rRNA from 3 species